GACGAACGCUGGCGGCGUGCUUAACACAUGCAAGUCGAACGGAAAGGCCUGCUUUCCCUUGUGGAUUGCGGGUACUCGAGUGGCGAACGGGUGAGUAACACGUGAGUGAUCUGCCCCCAACUUGGGUAUAAGCCUGGGAAACUGGGUCUAAUUCCCGAUAGGACUGCAGGGUGGUGCCUGUGGUGGAAAACGAUUUUCUAGUGGUUGGGGAUGAGCUCGCGGCCUAUCAGCUUGUUGGUGGGGUAAUGGCCUACCAAGGCGGCGACGGGUAGCCGGCCUGAGAGGGUGGACGGCCACAUUGGGACUGAGAUACGGCCCAGACUCCUACGGGAGGCAGCAGUGGGGAAUAUUGCACAAUGGGCGGAAGCCUGAAGCAGCGACGCUGCGUGGGGGAUGACGGCCUUCGGGUUGUAAACUCCUUUCGACCGCGAGGAAGCCACCUGGUUGGAAGGGUGGUGACGGUAGUGGUAGAAGAAGCACCGGCUAACUACGUG
rnacentral:rRNA from 1 species